rnacentral:rRNA from 1 species
CCCUUAGACGUUCUGGGCCGCACGCGCGCUACACUGACGAAUGCAACGAGCUUAUAACCUUGGCCGAAAGGUCUGGGUAAUCUCCAAAUUUCGUCGUGAUGGGGAUAGAUUAUUGCAAUUAUUAAUCUUCAACGAGGAAUGCCUAGUAAGCGCAAGUCAUCAGCUUGCGUUGAUUACGUCCCUGCCCUUUGUACACACCGCCCGUCGCUCCUACCGAUUGAAUGGUCCGGUGAAGCGUUCGGACCGUGGCCUUUGGACGGUUCGCCGUCUGUUGGCUGCGGGAAGUUCGUUAAACCUUAUCAUUUAGAGGAAGGAGAANUCGUAACA